rnacentral:lncRNA from 1 species
AAGAUUUUGCCACCAGGACUGCUUGCAGUGAGAAAAGAAAGGAUAACUGAAAUUCAGUAAAGAAGUUUGGUGCAGAAAGAGCACUACUCAAUGGAUGAAAAAUAUAAAUAGAUCUGAUCAUGUAGACUCAUUAUGCAUGGCCCUUCAUGUCAUCUUUUUCAACGCACUGAUAAAUUACCCUUUUUUCAGUAAAGAAAUUUGGUACACCACUGACCAUUAGCUGUUACUGAUGAUACAACGCGGCAUGCACAAGCCGGUGGCCAGCUCCAUGGCGUCGGCGCCCUUGUACACUGCAUCCAUCAGCACCACAUGUACGUCACCACAGCUCACCGCCGACCGAAGAUGGAUCCGUGGCCGCCGACCGAAGAUGGAUCCGGCUGGGCACGCCCCUACUAUCCGCCGCCUCGAGCAGGACAGGGCUGCCGGCUGGGUGCGCCCCUACUAUCCGCCUCC